rnacentral:rRNA from 1 species
AUUGAACGCUGGCAGCAGGCUUAACACAUGCAAGUCGAGCGGGGUGAUGGUGGUUGCACUAUCACUUAGCGGCGGACGGGUGAGUAAUGCUUAGGAAUCUGCCUAUUAGUGGGGGACAACAUCUCGAAAGGGAUGCUAAUACCGCAUACGUCCUACGGGAGAAAGCAGGGGAUCACUUGUGACCUUGCGCUAAUAGAUGAGCCUAAGUCGGAUUAGCUAGUUGGUGGGGUAAAGGCCUACCAAGGCGACGAUCUGUAGCGGGUCUGAGAGGAUGAUCCGCCACACUGGGACUGGGACACGGCCCCGACUCGUACGGGAGGCAGCAGUGGGGAAUAUUGGACAAUGGGGGGAACCCUGAUCCAGCCAUGCCGCGUGUGUGAAGAAGGCCUUAUGGUUGUAAAGCACUUUAAGCGAGGAGGAGGCUCUUUUGGUUAAUACCCAAGAUGAGUGGACGUUACUCGCAGAAUAAGCACCGGCUAACUCUGUGCCAGCAGCCGCCGUAA